AUGUUGUUCUCCAGUCUUCUGAAAGUGGUCGUGGUUUCAAUGUGGCUAGGAUCCAGUAUUUCCCAGAAAGUAACUCAAGCCAAACCAGCACUGUUAGUGCAGGAGAAGGAGGUUGUGACCCUGCACUGCAGCUAUGACACCAGUGACCCAACUUAUAGUCUAUUCUGGUACAAGCAGUCCAGCAGUGGAGCAAUGAUGUUUCUUAUUCGUCAGGAUUCUUAUAACCAGCAAAACGCCGCAGAAGGUCGCUACUUACUGAAUUUUCAGAAGGCAAACAAAUCCAUCAACCUUGUCAUCUCAGCUGCACAACUGGAGGACUCAGCAGUGUAUUUCUGUGCACUGAGUGAGCCCACAGUGAGAAAUGUGCUGGAGGGAGGUGUGCAAAAACCCCAGGGCUCUGCUUGA